rnacentral:rRNA from 1 species
AACGAACGCUGGCGGCAUGCCUAACACAUGCAAGUCGAACGAGACCUUCGGGUCUAGUGGCGCACGGGUGCGUAACGCGUGGGAACCUGCCCUUAGGUUCGGAAUAACUCCCCGAAAGGGGUGCUAAUACCGGAUAAUGUCUUCGGACCAAAGAUUUAUCGCCUUUGGAUGGGCCCGCGUUGGAUUAGCUAGUUGGUAGAGUAAAAGCCUACCAAGGCGACGAUCCAUAGCUGGUCUGAGAGGAUGAUCAGCCACACUGGGACUGAGACACGGCCCAGACUCCUACGGGAGGCAGCAGUGGCGAAUAUUGGACAACGGGCGAAAGCCUGAUCCAGCAAUGCCGCGUGAGUGAUGAAGGCCUUAGGGUUGUAAAGCUCUUUUACCCGGGAUGAUAAUGACAGUACCGGGAGAAUAAGCUCCGGCUAACUCCGUG